GUGAGUGUAGCUCAGUCGGCAGAGCACCAGGUUGUGGCCCUGGGGGUCAUGGGUUCAAGUCCCAUCACUCACCCCA
rnacentral:tRNA from 1 species